rnacentral:tRNA from 1 species
GCCGGAGUAGCUCAGUUGGUCAGAGCAGCGGAAUCAUAAUCCGCGUGUCGGGGGUUCAAGUCCCUCCUCCGGCACUA